rnacentral:misc_RNA from 1 species
GGAGUGUGGGAUUUUGGGUCAAGAAACGUCUUAUACAUGAAACUUCUGUAUUCCAGACUACCUGGCUGCAACAUACGAAGAUCUCUAUGGGAUCAUGCCCCAAAUGAGAAGUCAAAGAAAGUACCUUCUGUAAAUAAUAACAACUCUGGUGACUCAAAUUCAGGUUCAAUAGAAAACACUGUGGGCAAGAAGUUGGCAAAGUUUGUUGAUAUGUCUGAGAUGAGCAAGGG